UCUGAGGGAUCUAGAUUUUUUGAGGUGAAGCAUACUAAGCAAAGUGCUUUAUUGUUAGAUUCAACAAAGAAGUACUCAACAGUCCAUUUUUCCUGAAAGACUCUCCUUUCAUC